GCUUGCUUCUCUUGAGAGCGGCGGACGGGUGAGUAAUGCCUAGGAAUCUGCCUGGUAGUGGGGGAUAACGUUCGGAAACGGACGCUAAUACCGCAUACGUCCUACGGGAGAAAGCAGGGGACCUUCGGGCCUUGCGCUAUCAGAUGAGCCUAGGUCGGAUUAGCUAGUUGGUGGGGUAAUGGCUCACCAAGGCUACGAUCCGUAACUGGUCUGAGAGGAUGAUCAGUCACACUGGAACUGAGACACGGUCCAGACUCCUACGGGAGGCAGCAGUGGGGAAUAUUGGACAAUGGGCGAAAGCCUGAUCCAGCCAUGCCGCGUGUGUGAAGAAGGUCUUCGGAUUGUAAAGCACUUUAAGUUGGGAGGAAGGGUUGUAGAUUAAUACUCUGCAAUUUUGACGUUACCGACAGAAUAAGCACCGGCUAACUCUGUGCCAGCAGCCGCGGUAAUACAGAGGGUGCAAGCGUUAAUCGGAAUUACUGGGCGUAAAGCGCGCGUAGGUGGUUUGUUAAGUUGGAUGUGAAAUCCCCGGGCUCAACCUGGGAACUGCAUUCAAAACUGACUGACUAGAGUAUGGUAGAGGGUGGUGGAAUUUCCUGUGUAGCGGUGAAAUGCGUAGAUAUAGGAAGGAACACCAGUGGCGAAAGCGACCACCUGGACUAAUACUGACACUGAGUGCGAAAGCGUGGGGAGCAAACAGGAUUAGAUAC
rnacentral:rRNA from 1 species